rnacentral:lncRNA from 1 species
GUAAAUCAACUAUAAUUUUUUUUUUUUUUGUCUUUUUAGGGCCGCACCCAUGGCAUAUAGAGGUUCCCAGGCUAGGGGUCAAAUUGGAGCCGUAGCUGCAAGCCUACACCCCAGCCCAGAGCAACGGGGGAUCUGAGCCACGUCUGUGACCUACACCACAGCUCACAACAACGCUGGAUCCUUAACCCACUGAGUGAGCAGGGAUUGAACCUACAUCCUCAUGGAUCCUUGUCAGAUUCGUUUCCGCUGCGCCAUGAUGGGUACUCCAACUAUACUUUGAUUUUUCAAAAAUGAAAAUUGGAAAGGAAAACUAUAAAAGUAGAAGGCAAUAAACUUUGUUUUUAUACAAGCAAAACCAAAACGAAAACAAACGUGACACUGCUAACUGGUAAUUGUGAGCUUAGUAUUAUUGACACUUAAUUCUAUUCUUCACUUUUUUUUUUUUUUUUAAAUAAGUGGGCACCGUUGCCACUGUGGGGUCUUCAGAGGUUUCCAGAGAUAGAUUGGGGAAUUCCUGACAUAAGCCACUUGCCCCAGGUUUUACCAUAUCUCUGAUUCCCUUUUAGGAACUCAGUUCAGGUAAAGCCAGAGGCACUCCUUUCUAGAGGGACAGAGGGCUCAAUUAAAGCUGCCAUUUGUCGUAGCCUGGGUUAAGAGGAGGGCAGCGCAGGCAACAUUCCAUCCAUUCCAACAGCCUGGCCUUGCUGUUUCUUUUUUGAACAAACGUCUGAGCACCUGCAGUACAUCAGAUUUUAGGCUAGGUGUAAGGGCUGUUAGGAUCUCUAAGGGCUUACAGUCUGGCUGGUAAACCAUACCAGCUAAUUUCAAUACCAUGAGCUGCCUUGCUAUAUAUUCAUUAGCAAAUAUUUAUGAGUCUAGUACAGUCGGGUCCUGUUCUAGCCACUAGGGAAUAGCAGUCAACAAAAAAAGUGUCUGUUCUCAUGGAGCUUUAUUCUCCUGGGAUGAAACCUAAGUGAAUAUAUAGAGAUCUGACUACAUAAUUUGGCUUUUUGUUUGUUUGUUUGUUUGUUUUGUUGUUGCUUUUUAGGGCCAUACUCACGGCAUAUGGAGAUUCCCAGACUAGGGGUGGAAUUGGAGCUGCAGCUCCACCACAGCCACAGCAACGCCAGAUCUGAGCCACAUCUUCCACCUACACCACAGCUCAUGGCAACGCUGGAUCUUUAACCCACUGAGCAAGGCCAGGGAUUGAACCCGAAACCUCAUGGUUCCUAGUUAGAUUUGUUUCCUCUGAACCACGACCGGAACUCCACAGCUACAUAAUUUGGGAUGCCUGGAACAAAAUCAAAGUGUGGGGCCCCUUGUUCAAAAAAGAAUGAGAAAGGCUUUUUCCUUCCUUCCUUCUGUGGCCUCUCAUCCUGUGGUAGUGUUUAUUUGCUGCUUAAUGUCACCUUCCCCUGGGCAUAAGGAUGCUCUCUGGGUAAGUGCAGAUCCUUAUAUACUCCUGAGACCCAUGCUUGUGCCCAGCCCCCUACCAGGAGUGGAGGGUGGCAGAGGUUUCUGGGUGGAGCUCGAGAUGCUGGCAGCUAAGAAUGCACCCCUGCUGAGGGUAAGACAGAGUGGUGAUGUUGGAGCCAACGCUUGCUAAAAGAAAGCAAGAGAAUAUAAGCUGUCUGGGGAAGAACAAACAGUUCAAUAACAUGAGGCUAGAGAAUCCUUAAGAAGAAACGGUGAGGAGUUCCCAUCAUGGCUCAGUGGUUAACAAAUCCAACUAGGAACCAUGAGGUUGUGGGUUCAAUCCCUGGCCUCGCCCAGUGGGUUAAGGAUCUAGCGUUGCCAUAAACUGUGGUGUAGGUUGCAGACGUGGCUGGGAUCUGACGUUGCUGUGGCUGCGGCAUAGGCCAGUGGCUACAGCUCCAAUUAGACUCCUAGUCUGGGAGCCUCCAUGUGCCUUGGGUGUGGCCCUAAAAAGACAACAAGAUAAACAAACAAACAAACAAAUAAAUGAGUGGCUCGGUUAAGAAACCAACGUAGUCUCUGUGAAGAUUUGGGUUUGAUCCCUGGCCUGUCUCAGUGGGUUAAGGAUCCAGCAUUGUGGCAAGCUGUGGUGUAGGUCACAGAUGCAGCUUGGAUCCUGCAUUGCUGUGGCUGAGGUACAGGCUGGCAGCUAUAGCUCUGAUUCGCCCCAUAGGCUGGGAACCUCUAUAUGCCUAGGCCCAGCCACUGAAAAAAGGAAAAGAAAAAAAAAAAAAACCUUUAUUGCUGGAGUUCUCUUGUCGCACAGAUGGUUAAGGAUCUGGCGUUGUCACUGCAGCAGCUUCUGUUGCUGCUGUGGUGUGGGUUUAAUCCCUAGACCGGGAACUUCUACACGCCCUGGACACAGCCAAAACAAACAAACAAAACAAACCCACUUUAUUGCUAAAAAAUGCUAAGCAUCAUCUGGCCUUCAGUGAGUUAUUUUGUUGCUGAUGGAAGGUGUUGCCUCCAUGCUGGUGGCUGCUGACUGAUUAAAGUGGUGGUCACCCAAAGGUGCAGUGCCUGUGACAAUUUCUUAAAAUAAAACAGCAAAGUCUGCCACACAGAUUGACCCUUUCAUAAACGACUUCUCUGUAGCACGCAGCAGGACUUGUUUUAAAAUUGGAGUCAGUCCUCUCACACCCUGCCACUGCUUUAUCCAUGAAGUUUAGGUAAUAAUAUAAAUCCUUUAUUGUUACUUCAACAAUCUUCACAGCAUCUUCACCAGAAGCACUUUCCUUCUCAAGAAAACACUUCUUUGUUCCUCAUAAGAUGCAUAAGCAGCAGCUCCUCAUUUGUUCAAGUUUGGAGGUUCCCAGGCUAGGGGUUGAAUCAAAGCUAUAGCUGCCGGCCUUCACCACAGCCACAGCAAUGCAGGAUCUGAGCCUCGUCUUUGACCUACACCACAGCUCAUGGCAACACCGGAUCCUUAACCCACUGAACGAGGUCAGGGAUCAAACCUUCGUCCUCAGGGAUCCUAAUAAGAUUCAUUUCUGCUGAGCCAUGAUGGGAACUCCUUCAUUUGUUCAAGUUUUAUCAUCAGAUGGCAGCUAUUCAGUCACAUCUUUGGGCUUCAAAUUCUAGCUCUUUUGCUUCUUCCACCACAUCUGAAGUUCCUUUCUCCACUGAAGGUUUGAGCCCCUCAAAGGGUCAUCCAUGAGGGUGGGAUAAACUUCUCUCCAACUGCUGUAGAUGUUGAUGUGUUGACCUCCUCCCAUGAACCACGAAUGUUCUUCAUGGCAUCUAGAAUGGUAAAUCCUUUCCAGAAGGUUUGCAAUUUUUCCCAGAUUCAUCAGAGGAAUCACUACCUAUGGCAGCUAUAGCUUUACAAAAUGUAUUUUAAAAAAUUGAAGAAUAGUUGAUUUACGAUGUUGGGUUAAUUUCCGCUGUACAGCAAAGUGAUUCCAUUUACAUAUAUACAUUCUUUUUAAAUAUUCUUUUCCAUUACAGUUUACCACAGGACUUUGGAUAUAGCUCUCUGUACUAUACAGUAGCACCUCGUCUAUCCCCUCCAUAUAUAAUACAUCUGCUUACACUGCUAAGCCCCACCUCCCAUUCCCAAACCCCGCCCCCUUGACAACCAGGAGUCUGUUCUUGUCCAUGGGUCUGUUUCUGUUUUGUAAAUAGGUUCAUUUGCGUCAUACUUUAGGUCCCACAUAUAAGUGAUAUCAUAUGGUAUUUGUCUUUCUCUUUUUGACUUACUUCACUUAGUAUGAGAAUCUCUAGUUGCAUCCAUGAUGCUGCAGAUGGCAUUAUUUCAUUCUUUUUUAUGGCUGAGCAGUAUUCUAUUUGGUAUACGUACUAUAUUUUCUGUAUUCAUUCAUCUGUAGAUGGACAUUUAGAUUGCUUCCUUGUCUCAGCUAUUGUGAAUAGUGCUGCUAUGAACAUAGAGGACCAUGUAUCUUUUUGAAUUAUAGUUUUGUCUGGAUAUAUGCCCGGGAGUGGGAUUGAUGGAUCAUAUAGUAACUGUAUAUGAGGAACCUUCAUACUGUUUUCCAUAGUGACUAUACCAACUUAUAUUCCCACCAACAAUGUAGGAAGGUUCUCUUUUCUCCACAUCCUCUACAGUAUUUGCUAUUUGUACAUUUUUUCAUGAUGGCCAUUCUGACAUUCAACAACCUUGUUUUAGUUUUUUUAUUUAUUUGUAUUCUCUAAUAAUUAGUGAUGUUGACCAUUCUUUUUAUGUGCCUAUUGUCAAUCUGUAUCUCUUCCUUGGGGAAAUGUCUAUUUAGGUCUUCUGCUUAUUUUUCAAUUAGGUUGUUUGGAGUUUUUGUUGUUAUUUUGUUGAGCUGCAUGAGCUGCUUGUAUAUUUUGGAAAUGAAGCCCUUGUCAGUCACUUAUUUUGCAGAUAUUUUCUCCCAUUCUGUAGGUUGUCUUUGUUUUCUUUCUUUCUUUCUUUUCUUUUUCUUUUUUUUUUUUUUUUGGUCUUUUAUUUUUUUAGGGCUGCACACGCAGCAUAUGGAGGUUCAAAGGCUAGGCGUCGAACUGGAGCUUGGCUGAUGGUCUACACCACAACUCACGGCAACGCCAGAUCCUUAACCCACUGAGCGAGGCCAGGGAUCAAACCUGCAUCCUCGUGGAUAUCCAUCAGAUUCUUUCAUUUUGUUAAUGGUUUCCUUUGCUUUCCUUUGUAAGUUUGAUUAGGUCCCACUUUUUAAUUGUGUUUUUAUUUCUAUUGCCUUGGGAGACUGACCUGAAAAAAUAUUGGUACGAUUUAUGUCAGAGAAUGUUUUGCCUGUGAUCUCCUCUUAGAGUUUUAUGGUGUCAUGUCUUAUGUUUAGUCUUUAAGCCACAAGAUGUAUUUCUUAAGACUUAAAAGUCAAAAUUACUCCUUGAUCCAUAAGCUGCAGAAUGGAUGUUGUGUUAGCAGUUAACACACACAUAACAUUUAUCAGUUAAGUUCUCUGUGUUGUAUGGGUGUGGCCUGUGGUACUCCACAGCAAUUACAAUGGUCACAUCAAGGAGUUCCCUUUGUGGCUCAGGAGUUAACGAACCUGAGUAGCAUCCAUGAGGAUGUGGGUUCGAUCCCUGGCCUAGCUCAGUGGGUUAAAGAUCCAGAGUUGCCAUGAGCUGUGGCAUAGGUCACAGACUCGGCUCAGAUCCUGCAUUUCUGUGGCUGUGGUGUAGGCUGGCAGCUGUAGCUCCAAUUCAUCCCCUAGUCUGGGAACCUCCCACUGGCUGAGAGUAUGGCCCUAAAAUUGCAAAAAAAAAAAAAAAAUCACCAAUCAGAGAUCACCAUAACACAUAAAGUUAUCAUUAAAAAUGUGUACUAUUGCAAGAGUCACCAAAAUCUAACAGAGAAAUACAAAGUGAGCAGAUGCUGUUUGGAAAAUGGCACCAAUCGACUUGCUGGUCAAAAGCUUGUGCAAACUUUCAAUUUGUUAAAAACACAAUGCCUACAAUAAAGUGAAGCAUAAUAAAAUGAGGUCUGCCUAUACUGGCACAUCUUUGCCCCAGGCUCUGUUUUUCUCAGAAUUCAAAUUAAGAUAUAGGCAGAGGAUCCUGGGUUCCCAGCUUCCCAUCUAGAAGGAAGGUUGUGGGGACAGAGGGGCAUGCCCCUUUGCCCCUGCAGACUCUCGGCCACAGGGAGGGAUGUGGCUGGAGUGGGGCCAACAUGGCCUCUGGAGCAAGGUCUAGGGCAAGGGCCGCUUGCCCAGGUGGAACAGAAGCACUGACUGGAAUAUAAACUGCUAAACAGUGUGGCCUGGCUGGUUCAUCCUCACAUACUUUGUAGGCAGCAGAUAUUUAAUUUUUUUUUUUUUUUUUUGCUUUUUAGGGCUGCUCCUGCAGCAUAUGGAGUUUCCCAGGCUAGGGGUCGAAUUGAAACUGCAGUUGCCAGCCUACAUCAUAACCACAGAAACAUGGGAUCCAAGCCGCAUCUGCGACCUGCACCACAGUUCACAGUAAUGCCAGAUCCUUAACCCAUUGAUCGAGGCUAGGGACCAAACCCACAUCCUCAUGCAUCCUAGUCGGGUUCAUUAACCGCUUGAGCCAUGAAGGGAACUCC